CUUAGGUUACACUUUAAACCGGAGGCCUUCAAAGCCUCAAACAGGGCUAAACCCCCUAGCUCCUG
rnacentral:tRNA from 1 species